UCCUCUAUAUCUCUGACUUUG
ensembl:piRNA 21ur-13371 ncRNA